UACGUAGGGACCAAGCGUUGUUCGGAUUUACUGGGCGUAAAGGGCGCGUAGGCGGCAUGACAAGUCACUUGUGAAAUCUCCGGGCUUAACUCGGAACGGUCAAGUGAUACUGUCGCGCUAGAGUGCGGAAGGGGCAAUCAGAAUUCUUGGUGUAGCGGUGAAAUGCGUAGAUAUUGGGAGGAAUACCGGUGGCGAAGGCGGCUCCCUGGACCGGUACUGACGCUGAGGCGCGAAAGCGUGGGUAGCAAACAGG
rnacentral:rRNA from 1 species